rnacentral:rRNA from 1 species
ACGGCGAGCGAACGGGGAUUAGCCCAACACCGAAUCUCACGGCAUGCGCUGUUGAGAAAUGUGGUGUUAAGGUUGUUCUCUGCAUCUGCCUCCUUGCUUCUCAAGUCCACCUGAUUGUGGCUCAAGCCCAGAGAGGGUGUAAGGCCCGUAGAGAGGCGGAAGCAUGGUGCCUGGAGCUAACCUACGAGUCGGCUUGUUCGGGAAUGCAGGCCAAAGCGGGUGGUAAACUCCAUCCAAGGCUAAAUACUUGCACGAGUCCGAUAGCGGACAAGUACCGUGAGGGAAAGUUGAAAAGAACUUUGAAGAGAGAGUUAAAUAGUACGUGAACCCGCUUAGAGGCAAACGGGUGGUGCUCAAGUUGGCUCAGGGAAUUCAGCCCGUGUCCGGUGUAAGGUGCUGCUGCGAUUUUUAACGGAUYUUUAUCGACCGGCGUGGCAGUUCUCUUAUCCGCAUAGGUGUACUUUCCCUGUUGCCUUCGCCACGACCAACGACAACUGAUUGUCUGCUAUUGGAGAAAGGUGGCGUGCUUUUUUGUGCGUGUUAUAGUCUUCAAUAGUCUUCCGGUACAGUCAGUACGUUGGAUUAGGAUUAGCGAUGCUCGCCCCCCUUAGGGCUCGUAAGGCUGACAAGUUCGGUUUGGCAAUGUUUGCACUGGAAUCCAGUUCAUUUAUUGUUCAAAUUGUUCGUGGUUGGUCCUCUGCGAGUAUUAGCAUCUACAGUCUGUGGCGUUCUAUUGGGUAGACUACCCGACCCGUCUUGAAACACGGACCAAGGAGUCUAACAUGUGCGCAAGUCAUGGGGACAUUACGAAACCCAAAGGCGCAGUGAAGGUAAAGGCUUGUCUUGUACAGGCUUAGGUGGGAUCCGAUGAGCAUUUUUUUGUGUAAUCGGCGCACCACCGGCCCGUCCUAUCUGUUUCUAUCAGUGGGACGGAGCAAGAGCGUACACGUUGGGACCCGAAAGAUGGUGAACUAUGCUUGCGCAGCUCGAAGUCAGUGGAAACACUGAUGGAGGAGCGCAGCGCUUCUGACGUGCAAAUCGAUCGUCAAACGUGAGUAUA